UACGUAGGGCGCAAGCGUUGUCCGGAAUUAUUGGGCGUAAAGAGCUCGUAGGCGGUCUGUUGCGUCUGUUGUGAAAACUCGAGGCUCAACCUCGGGCUUGCAGUGGAUACGGGCAGACUAGAGUGCGGUAGGGGAGACUGGAAUUCCUGGUGUAGCGGUGGAAUGCGCAGAUAUCAGGAGGAACACCGAUGGCGAAGGCAGGUCUCUGGGCCGCAACUGACGCUGAGGAGCGAAAGCAUGGGGAGCGAACAGG
rnacentral:rRNA from 1 species